AACGUAGGGGGCGAGCGUUGUCCGGAAUUACUGGGCGUAAAGGGCGCGUAGGCGGUUCUUUAAGUCAGAGGUGAAAACUGUCGGCUCAACCGGCAGCCUGCCUUUGAAACUGGAGGACUUGAGGGCAGGAGAGGGGAGUGGAAUUCCCAGUGUAGCGGUGAAAUGCGUAGAUAUUGGGAGGAACACCAGUGGCGAAGGCGGCUCUCUGGCCUGUUGCUGACGCUGAGGCGCGAAAGCGUGGGGAUCAAACAGGAUUAGAUACCCCCGUAGUCC
rnacentral:rRNA from 1 species